rnacentral:rRNA from 1 species
CGCGGCCUAUCAGCUUGUUGGUGGGGUAGUGGCUUACCAAGGCUUUGACGGGUAGCCGGCCUGAGAGGGUGACCGGCCACAUUGGGACUGAGAUACGGCCCAGACUCCUACGGGAGGCAGCAGUGGGGAAUAUUACACAAUGGGCGGAAGCCUGAUGCAGCAACGCCGCGUGCGGGAUGACGGCCUUCGGGUUGUAAACCGCUUUCGCCUGUGACGAAGCGUGAGUGACGGUAAUGGGUAAAGAAGCACCGGCUAACUACGUGCCAGCAGCCGCGGUGAUACGUAGGGUGCGAGCGUUGUCCGGAUUUAUUGGGCGUAAAGGGCUCGUAGGUGGUUGAUCGCGUCGGAAGUGUAAUCUUGGGGCUUAACCCUGAGCGUGCUUUCGAUACGGGUUGACUUGAGGAAGGUAGGGGAGAAUGGAAUUCCUGGUGGAGCGGUGGAAUGCGCAGAUAUCAGGAGGAACACCAGUGGCGAAGGCGGUUCUCUGGGCCUUUCCUGACGCUGAGGAGCGAAAGCGUGGGGAGCGAACAGGCUUAGAUACCCUGGUAGUCCACGCUGUAAACGGUGGGUACUAGGUGUGGGGUCCAUUCCACGGGUUCCGUGCCGUAGCUAACGCUUUAAGUACCCCGCCUGGGGAGUACGG